ensembl:lncRNA
GGUAGAUCUGUUCUAUGUAAGCUAUUUGUAUCGGUCCCUUUAGUUUGGGUGUCCUUUACUUUCAGUUUUGUUGUGUACACCAGCUGAAAAUACUAUAGUUUUGGUUAUAAAAAAUAUAUUUCACAGCGGUUUAGAUGGUACAAUGAUUCGCGACACAAUGACUGCCUGUUGUCUCACAACUGAAAUUAGGUGAACUAUUUGAAUUUUAGCAACCAGGAAAUGGAAAGAUUAAUGCAUAUUCCACCUUUGAGAAAUUAAAGGUUAUUCUUUUGAGCUCAUGGUGUAGCCCAUGAGGCGGAGAAGCUGGAGGACAGGAAGAAGGUGAAGUGCCGCAAGAAAUCUGAAAUAGGGUAAGUGCCUCCCAUUGGAAGGGUUCAGUCUAGUGGACUGAAAUAGGUGCCCGUACUCAUUUUGGGUGCCUUUACCGUUCAUAUUUAGGUGCAGGAGCUCCACAACACUUUGAGCUAAUAUUCUAUGAGGUGGAGGAGCUCAAGCAGUAGAAAAAGUGAGGUGCCAGUGCUCAGCUUCGGUGAUCUCAUGCCUAAAUGGUUCAGUCAGGGAUAAUAACAGAAUAAAUAAACCAGCAAAACUGAAAAACAGCUACAACAAGCUGUUGUUCUUAUGGAUCAAACUGUUUCCUUCUUAAGGCAAUGAUUGACCCCCCAGUACCGUACCCACCUGAAGAGGAAAGCACAGGUGGCUCAGGGGGAGCUGGAGGCAGACUGCAGGAUCCUGGGAGUCCUGCUGGAGAGUGCACGUCUGGAGGGAAUUGAAGCAGGUCAAGGAGCAACUCCAGCUGGAAUAGGAAGCAGAGUUUGUUAUCCUGUACAGGUCGGUAAUAGCAUGAGCAGGCCCGGAGGCUGCAGGAGGAUGAGUGGAGACUGCAGGAGGAUGAGUGGAGGAUAAGUGGAGGCUGCAAGAGGAUGAGUGGAGGCUGCAGGAGGAUAAGUGGAGGCUGCAAGAGGAUGAGGAGAGGUUGCAGACCCAGAGGAUGUCCUAGCAGGGCUAACAGGACAAGAUUCAACACAGAACCCGUUCAGCCUGGACAUGAAGAAGUUGUGAGGCCAAAAAGACAAUCAUAUGUUCUUAUACAUUUGUACAAAGAAUGAAGUAGACCAACUUCAUGCUUAUAUGUUAGUUGCUGAAUGUGGUGGUUGUUAGUUUUGUUACAUAUUUAGCAAAAUGAUGAGGGAUAGUUUAUAAUUCAAAGAAUAAUUUUUUUUUAAAUCAAUAAACAAGACCUAAGAUUGUGAGUUUUAGUUAUGUAAUUAAAACAUCUAUUUUCUUUGCUUGCCUGUUUCUCUGCGCUCAUGGAAGAAACACUUUGUCACACAAUACAACAAACAAUUUAUCAUUGACAGAAUAAUUAGAUUAAUUUCCUUAGUUGGAUAUCUGCUAUUUAUCAUAAUUAUCAACCUAUAAAACAUAUGUGAAGCAUAUACAAUACUUUAGAGCCAAUCUGUAAGAUUUACUCUUUGAUUUGGAAGUUUUUGAUCUAAAUACCUUGUUGAGAUUCGUACUAAAGAUACAUACCCCGUUGUUUGUUUUUGUUUUCAUACAACAGGGCUGUCAAAUUCAUUCCAAUCCUAGUGUCUACAUGUUAAUGUUUUUUUCUUUCAAUUAAAACAACCAGGUGCGUGGACUUCUUUACUAAUUAGUGACCUUAAUUCAUCAAUUAAGUACAAGGAAGGAGCGAAAACCUGCAAAUACUUGACCCUGUGUGGAAUGAGUUUGAUAUGUAUCAUACAACAAAUAUUUGCAAUUCUUUGGGCCUACUUGAAACCAAUACACAUUUCUAUGAAGUGCUUGUGUGAACAGAAUUGCACAGCAGUGAAAUGCAUUAAAUGCAUGUCUUGAUGGAGGUACAUUUCACUGCUUCUAAAUAAAUUGUUCUUUAUCAACUUAUACCUGGUCAUGAUACAUCUUAUUUGAUCUACCAACAUGACGAAUAC